rnacentral:lncRNA from 1 species
UAUAUAUACAUUAUUGCCUUUAAUGUUCAUCUUAUCCCAAUUUUACAGAUAAGGGAUUGAGACACAGAAAUUAAAUGACAGGCCAAGCCUGCAGAGCUCAUAAAUGGCAGACGUGGGAUGUUCUCUUAUGCACUAGGCAAGGGAUGCUAUGGAAUCAGUUCCUAUCCCCAGAGAAUUGGCUACCUGGUGCAUAUGAAAAACCUACAAAGGAACAGGUCCCCAGCCAUCUUCUGUUGGGAAUUGUGCUUCUAGUUUACACUGCUGAUGCUUUCCUACAUUUUAAGAAGUUUUUUUCUUUAUCUCUAAGGAAGGUCUCCUGCAGCCUAGAGUGAAGAGAUGAACUCGUUCAGAUUUUUGUCAAGUGCUGCCCAUCAUGGCCCUUGUAACGUCAGAGGAGGUAAGCAGUCCAGUCUCCUCACUGCCUUUACCAUAUUAUUCCACC